rnacentral:rRNA from 2 species
UUGAUUCAUGGCUCAGGACGAACGCUGGCGGCGUGCUUAACACAUGCAAGUCGAGCGGUAAGGCCCUUCGGGGUACACGAGCGGCGAACGGGUGAGUAACACGUGAGCAAUCUACCCUCCACACUGGGAUAACCCCCGGAAACGGGAGCUAAUACCGGAUACGACCACUUCAGGCAUCUGAUGGUGGUGGAAAGUUCCGGCGGUGGAGGAUGAGCUCGCGGCCUAUCAGCUAGUUGGUGGGGUAAUGGCCCACCAAGGCUUCGACGGGUAGCCGGCCUGAGAGGGUGACCGGCCACACUGGGACUGAGACACGGCCCAGACUCCUACGGGAGGCAGCAGUGGGGAAUAUUGGACAAUGGGCGAAAGCCUGAUCCAGCAACGCCGCGUGAGGGAUGACGGCCUUCGGGUUGUAAACCUCUUUCAGCGCAGACGAAGCGAAAGUGACGGUAUGCGCAGAAGAAGCACCGGCCAACUACGUGCCAGCAGCCGCGGUAAUACGUAGGGUGCGAGCGUUGUCCGGAAUUAUUGGGCGUAAAGGGCUCGUAGGCGGUUUGUCACGUCGGGAGUGAAAACUCGGGGCUCAACCCCGAGCCUGCUUCCGAUACGGGCUGACUAGAGGUAUGCAGGGGAGAACGGAAUUCCUGGUGUAGCGGUGAAAUGCGCAGAUAUCAGGAGGAACACCGGUGGCGAAGGCGGUUCUCUGGGCAUUACCUGACGCUGAGGAGCGAAAGUGUGGGGAGCGAACAGGAUUAGAUACCCUGGUAGUCCACACCGUAAACGUUGGGCGCUAGGUGUGGGACUCAUUCCACGAGUUCCGUGCCGCAGCUAACGCAUUAAGCGCCCCG